GAGCGUUCUCAGGGCGGGGCGAAAUUCCCCACCGGCGGUAACGACCGGCGAGCCGAAGGCUCUUCGGUCGAAGCCCGCGAGCGCUUCGAGCAGCCUGCUUGAAGGUCAGCAGAUCCGGUUGAACUCCGGAGCCGACGGUUAUAGUUCGGAUGGAAGAGAGCAAGC
rnacentral:ncRNA from 2 species